rnacentral:rRNA from 1 species
AUCCAGACUCCUACGGGAGGCAGCAGUGGGGAAUAUUGCACAAUGGGGGGAACCCUGAUGCAGCGACGCCGCGUGGGCGAGGAAGUAUUUCGGUAUGUAAAGCUCUAUCAGCAGGGAAGAAAAUGACGGUACCUGACUAAGAAGCCCCGGCUAACUACGUGCCAGCAGCCGCGGUAAUACGUAGGGGGCAAGCGUUAUCCGGAUUUACUGGGUGUAAAGGGGGCGCAGACGGCAGCGCAAGCCAGGAGUGAAAGCCCGGGGCCCAACCCCGGGACUGCUCUUGGAACUGCGCGGCUGGAGUGCAGGAGGGGCAGGCGGAAUUCCUGGUGUAGCGGUGAAAUGCGUAGAUAUCAGGAGGAACACCGGUGGCGAAGGCGGCCUGCUGGACUGCGACUGACGUUGAGGCCCGAAAGCGUGGGGAGCAAACAGGAUUAGAUACCCUAGUACAU